rnacentral:rRNA from 1 species
UGGGGAAUAUUGGACAAUGGGGGCAACCCUGAUCCAGCAAUGCCGCGUGUGUGAAGAAGGUCUUCGGAUUGUAAAGCACUUUCGACGGGGACGAUGAUGACGGUACCCGUAGAAGAAGCCCCGGCUAACUUCGUGCCAGCAGCCGCGGUAAUACGAAGGGGGCUAGCGUUGCUCGGAAUGACUGGGCGUAAAGGGCGUGUAGGCGGUUUACACAGUCAGAUGUGAAAUCCCCGGGCUUAACCUGGGAGCUGCAUUUGAUACGUGUAGACUAGAGUGUGAGAGAGGGUUGUGGAAUUCCCAGUGUAGAGGUGAAAUUCGUAGAUAUUGGGAAGAACACCGGUGGCGAAGGCGGCAACCUGGCUCAUGACUGACGCUGAGGCGCGAAAGCGUGGGGAGCAAACAGGAUUAGAUACCCUGGUAGUCCACGCUGUAAACGAUGUGUGCUAGAUGUUGGGUAACUUUGUUAUUCAGUGUCGCAGUUAACGCGUUAAGCACACCGCCUGGGGAGU